rnacentral:rRNA from 1 species
GAUCCUGGCUCAGAAUCAACGCUGGCGGCGUGCCUAACACAUGCAAGUCGAACGCGGUUCGUAGCAAUACGAACUGAGUGGCGAACGGGUGAGUAACACGUGGGUGACCUACCUUCGAGUGGGGGAUAACGUCCCGAAAGGGACGCUAAUACCGCAUAACAUCCUUCCUUUGAACAGGGGGAGAUCAAAGCCGGGGAUCGCAAGACCUGGCGCUUGAUGAGGGGCCCGCGUCUGAUUAGCUAGUUGGUGAGGUAACGGCUCACCAAGGCGACGAUCAGUAUCCGGCCUGAGAGGGCGGACGGACACACUGGGACUGAGACACGGCCCAGACUCCUACGGGAGGCAGCAGUGGGGAAUUGUUCACAAUGGGCGCAAGCCUGAUGACGCAACGCCGCGUGGAGGAUGAAGGUCUUCGGAUUGUAAACUCCUGUUGCUCGGGACGAAAUGCUCCAACCUAAUACGUUGGAGUUUGACGGUACCGAGUGAGGAAGCCCCGGCUAACUCUGUGCCAGCAGCCGCGGUAAUACAGAGGGGGCAAGCGUUGUUCGGAAUUACUGGGCGUAAAGGGCGCGUAGGCGGCCUGUUAAGUCGAACGUGAAAUCCCCGGGCUCAACCCGGGAACUGCGUCCGAAACUGGCAGGCUCGAAUUCGGGAGAGGGAUGCGGAAUUCCAGGUGUAGCGGUGAAAUGC